AAUAUCUUUAAUCCCCUCCCCUCCUCUCCUCUCUCUCAUUUUUAUUUUUAUUUAUUUAUUUAGUUAUUUAUUUUUAAUUUGAAAUUCAACCAACAAUGCUAAGAUGGAGGACAACCUUGACUAUGUGCAUAGAGGUGGAACUUAUAUCUUCAAUAGCUUUAUAAGUCCAUUCAGGGAAAAUGUGGAUGCAUCCACUGAAAAACUAAAAGAAAUUUAAGAAUAGUAAAUCAAAUUACAUAAUUUAACAAGAAGCUGUGAUGGAAUAAUGAAUCUGCAAAGGAUCAAACUGGGAAUGUUUGGAAAAGUAUGUUGGUGUAUAUGGUUUUACAUUGGUCCACCAUGCUUUCAGUAAUAAUAGAGUUAGGCUAUGGAAUCCUUGUUGUUAUGGAACUACAGAGUGCCAACGAAUUUAGAAGUUUGAGUUUGUUCUUAAGUAGCAGAAUUGCUGAGUUGAUGAAAUUUGCAAAAAGGAUGGGUGUUACUGCCACAGAAGAUGGAAGGACGAGAAAAGAAAAUUUAAACUAUGAUCGGAUGUGUCAUAUGUAUGUUAAGUAGCCCUCUCAAGUAUCUACAGAUGGCCUUGUGCAGCUUGUUGGGUUCAGCCGUAUGCAGUCUAAUGAGGACUUAUGCCAAACUUGAUUGAGCCUGCAGCUGGUUGCCAUCUAGUUGAAUGUAUUAUUGAUGGAAAUGAAGUGCGUGAUAAUUGCUCAGAAAUCACAUUUUCCAAGUUCCUGCUAACAAUAUUCUGCCAUUUUUGCCUUAGCUAGAAAGAAACAAACAUUUAUUCUAAGAGACAGUGUUGGCUUUUUCCUUGAUGGCACUUUUAGUCAUUCACACCAUCUCUCUAUAGGAAAAUGGAAUACCUAGGAGGCAGCAGGAAUUCAUCAUGUACUGCUUCUUGUGAUUAGGUGCUGAAUUCUCUGAUACUCCAACUCUUCAUUUUGCCCUGCUGUGCCCAUGUCGACACAACACGACAUGGAACAUGUGUCCGACUUAUAUUCAUGCGGUCGUAUGCUCGAUUGACAGAGAUCUCUCAAGAUGAAA
rnacentral:misc_RNA from 1 species